rnacentral:lncRNA from 10 species
AGAAUCCACAUGGAGAACAGUGGGAGGAGCGAGAGCUGAGGAAGCCGAGCUGGUGGAGAUAACUUUUCAAGAGAGUUUGGCUCUGAAGGGGGAGAGUGAGCUGGGACAGUAAGUACAGGGGAAUGAGUAGAGGGGAGUUCUUGUUUUUAGGGGGAACAUUUGGACGUGAAAAUGGUCUGUGUGGGAGGGAGAAAGUCAAAGGUGAUGGGAUAAGGUUUCUGAGAAGCAGGAGGGGAUGGACUCCGUAGCCCAGGUGGACAGACUGGCCUGGGAGGAGGAAAAGAGGAGAGCGUGGGGCACUGCAGGGCCUGGACUUCCCUCUGGGGACUUCAGUUUUCUUGGUAAAGUAGGGGACUUGACUUGUAAGAGAGGCUACUUGCUGUGAGUGGAGGGAAUGUAGGGGCGGGCCUGAGGGAUUUGAAAUUUUGAGAAACACCAAUGUAUUCUUUUCCUAGAGCUGCUGUAACAAAGUCCCACAAACUGGGUGGCCUAAAACAACAGAAAUGUAUCCUGUCACUGUUGUGGAGGCUGGAAUUCUGAAAUCAAGAUGUCAGCGGAACCAUGCUCCCUCUGAAGGCUCCAGGAGAGAGCUCUUCCUUGCCUCUUCCUAGCUUUGGCGGUGGUUGGCAAUGCUUGCUGUUCCUUGGCUUGUAGCCCCUGCCUCAAUCAUCAUGUGGUCUUCUUCCCACUGUGUGUGUCUGUCUUCACAUGGUCUUCUUAGAAAGACGCUGUUACUGGAUUUAGGACCCCUUAUAAUCCAGUCUGAUCUUAUUUUAUUCACAUCUGCAAAGACGCUAUUUUCAAAUAAGGUCACAUUCACAGAUACCAGAAGUUAGGGCUUGAACAUAUCUUUUGGGGAGACAUAAUUCUAUCCAUUAUCAUUAAGACAUUUAGAAAUGGUUGUAGAGAGGGAGAGAAAUGUCCGAGCAUGCCCAGCGCUGUCACGGGCCCAUGGGGACUGGUGAAGAUAAACCAAUAGUGAGAGUAUGCUGCGGCAUCAGCUGCUCUCCCACUUGCUCCUCUCUGCUGACCGGCAUCCUUGGGCAGAGCUGGGGCACCCCAGCCCUCUCCUGCUGCAGGGCAGGUUUCCCUCCCACAAGAACAGAACCUUGUGACCUCUCUUGACUCUUCCUCCCUUCCUGCCUCAGCCUCCAUCUCUGCCUCCCAUUCAGUCCCUUUCUCUGCCCCAAGGUACAUGAAGAACUCUUGAAGACAGGAGCUGCAGAGCUGGCCCCACAGCACCAGAGAUGUCACAGAAGAGCAGAAUUCCAGCCCUCCAUGGCACAUGGGCUACAUCUGCACUAUUUUGUUCAGAGCUCCAAGAAGCAGGUGCAUUGGGAUUUUCACCAAAGAACGAAAGGAAUAAACCCAUCUCCCUAUUUUUAACCCCCCAGAAGAAGCCUUAUUCUCUCCUUUCUGGAAUGUCAGGACCAGUGUCAUUUUGUCCAGGCUGCAUUGACCUCUUUGCUGGACCCCGGGCAUAGGGAGCCCUUGCUGCUUCUCCACCCACCAGUGCUGAGCUCCGGGGGUGUUUGCCUUGCAGGUCCAAGGUGAGAAUGUAAACACUGCAAUUCCUCUGAAAACUGGCUGGAACCUCCUCCAGGGAGGAAGGGUUGCUCAUGGGCUGGCCAGGCUCCCAAACAUCAUACACAGCAACCCGGAGCUCCAACUUAACACAGCUUGGGGCAGGUCCUCAAAUGACCUUCCGUUUCUUGUCUGCCCAUCUGAGAGGACCAUUCCAUUCCAAACAACAUUCCUUUGAUAAAAGUGGUUACACACUGUAAACAUCAAUGAGCCAGGAACAUUCUCCGGUGCAACAGGAUUCUGAUAAAGCAGUCCUAUUUUGCAAAACCUUCCAGUGUGAAACAUCCUCCCCACAGCAAGCAGGGAAAUUCCUGGGAUGCCACAACAUUGGGCAGAGUGUCCAGGGCCCCAGGGAAGGAGCAGAAAGUCUAGAGGUGGAGCUCCCAUUGUGGGCAGAGGGACCUGAGUUUUCAAUCAUCUGUUCAUCAGUCACUCACUCAACAAAUAUUUGCUGAACAUGUCCCAAGCGCCAGGCUCUGAUGGAGUCACUGGAAAUGCAGUGUUUCCACAUGACUGCAAAGCUCCCCUGACUUUCAAAAAGCAGCAAUGAUUUCCUCUCCCCACACAGUCCAGGUUGACAGUCGGGUGCAAUAUCCACACGCCUCUCUACCUCACUCCCUCUGUGAGUCUGGAUGUGUUCUUCUUCCUCUCCAGCCCCCUGGGCCCUCAUUCUGUUGGCUUUUCUGCUGUCACUCUCUGUUCGCAGGUAUCUCUUCUUGAGUCUGUUUCUGGGUCUCUCAGUCUCUAUUCUUCAAGUCUCCCUUUGUGUCACCAAGUGCUUCCCAGCCUAGCCACUCCUCUACCUCUCCAUCAGUCUGCCUUACUUCCAAUCAAUUCAUCCCCAUUUUUUUCUCCUUCCCUCUUCUGUUUCUUCUCCUUAAGUGACUGUUGAUACAGAACUAGAUACAUUUUUCUUAGGUUGGUGGAAUAGACUUUCACAUUCUCUGGUGUUUAGUUCUAAAAUUGAUUGAAAAAUGUUUGUAUUCUUUAGUGUUGUCUGAAUUUCUUAUAAGAGUAUGUGUAAUUCUUUAAAACUGUUUAUUAAAAUACGAUGCCUAUAUUAGUCCAUUUUCAUCCUGCUGUGAAGAAGUUCAUGAGACUGGGUAAUUUAUAAAGAAAAAGAGGUUUAAUGAACUCACCGUUCCACAUGGCUAGGGAGGCCUCACAUUCAUGGCAGAAGGCAAAGGAGAAGCAAAGUCACAUCUUACAUGGCCGCAGGCAAGAGAGUGUGUGCAGGCGAACUGCCCUUUAUAAAACCAUCAGCUCUCGUGAGACUUACUCACUAUCAUGAGAACAGCAUGGAAAAACCCACCCCCAUGAUUCAAUUACCUCCCACCAGGUCCCUCCCAUGACACAUGGGGAUUAUGAGAGCUACCAUUCAAGAAGAGAUUUGGGUGGGGACAAAGCCAAACCAUAUCAAUGCCCGUGAAAAAGUGCCCAUGAAAUGCCAUGCAGAGCUCCAAGAAUCUCACUCACUGAACACACUUGUGUAGCCACAUCUUGGACUAAAACUUGCUUAUGUUGCCUUUCAAUAUUCUCCCCCACAUGCGUCACCACUGCCCUCACUUCUCUCAGCAUGGACUCCUGUCUUUGAUAAAAGACCAAAUCCCUGGUUUUGUAUGUUAUGGAAGUGAAAUGCAGUCAUAUGGAUUAGUUUGUGUCUAGCUUCUACUGUUCAGGACUUCACGCUCUUUGUUGCAUGUAGGCAUGGACUCUUCAUUGUCUUUGUGAGGUGGUGGCCAUUGUGGGGCUAUCCCGCAAUUUCUCUUCAGUUGUUAAUAGGUAUUAGGGUAGUUUCCAUU